AAGUCGUAACAAGGUCUUCGUAGGUGAACCUGCGGAGGGAUCAUUAGUGAAUUUUUAAGGGUUUCUGAUGUCUUAACACGACUCAGUCACCUAUUCACUCAAUUUCAAACACUGUGAACUUGAUCGCCGAGUCGUGCGAACGACAAGGCCUUAACCUUUUUAACCCUUGUGUAUGCAAACAAGUGAUGUUAAUUUCAUGAUAAAGAAAGUUAAAACUUUCAGCAAUGGAUCUCUUGGCUCUCGCAUCGAUGAAGAACGCAGCGAAACGCGAAAUGUAAUGUGAAUUGCAGAAUUCAGUGAAUCAUCGAAUCUUUGAACGCACCUUGCGCUCUUGGGUCAUUCCUGAGAGCAUGCUUGUUUGAGUGUCGCUUACCCCUCUCAAACCCCCGUUUUGAUUAACGGAGCUAGGUUUGGAUCGUGCGGCUUUGUCGUUGGUCUUAUUGAUCGCUCGACUGCCGUGAAAUGCAAGAAGCUGUACUAGAAGCUUUAGGACCCGUUGUCGUAAUUUACAAUCAAUGGGAACGCUUCUAAAGAAGGCUUACCGAAAACGGCCCUAGCUAACGCUAGGCCAUUUUAUUAAAUGACCUCAAAUCAAGUAGGACUACCCGCUGAACUUAA
rnacentral:rRNA from 1 species